GGAGAAGCCACGGGCUGUGACCAGUUAACCCAUUGAUCGCCAGGGUUGACUCUGCGGAUCUGGCUGGCGGGCGGGCGUCCCUGCCUCCCUCACCCUCCACCUGCGUCCCUCCCGAAGCUGCGCACCGUGUGGAAGAGGACGACCUUCCUGGGUGGAGGAGAGGACCUUCUCAGGUCAAGCUCCCACGUAGGAGUCGCUGAGCUCCCUGCUAGAACCCCCAGACACUCUCUCAGGGGAGGGUUUUCUUUUUUUUUUUUAAGGAAUUUUAUUUGUUUGUUUCUUU
rnacentral:snRNA from 1 species